rnacentral:rRNA from 1 species
AAUGAGUUAGGGUCUCCUGGGCCCGACCUCCAACCCUUUGUAUAACUACCACGUUGCUUUGACGGGCCCGUCUUUAACCAGACCGCCGGGGGUCUAACCUCUGGCCAGCGCCUGUCAAUUGCCUUUUAACAAAUCCUUUUUAAUCAUGUCAAAUCUGAAAAUAGUUAAAUAAACUAAAACUUUCAACAACGGAUCUCUUGGUUCUGGCAUCGAUGAAGAACGCAGCGAAAUGCGAUAAGUAAUGCGAAUUGCAGAAUUCAGUGAGUCAUCGAAUUUUUGAACGCACAUUGCGCCCUCCGGCACUCCGGGGGGCAUGCCUGUCCGAGCGUCGUUUCCACCGCCAAACGUUGGCUGGCCACGAGCCUGGUGCUCGACGAUGGGCCGCAUCGCCUCCGGGCGAUCGACCCAAACCCAGGGUACGGGUGUCGAACCUUCAGCCGCAGUGGAACAUUCCGGCUUGGAAGGGUCGGUGUCGGUGCCUGGUCUCUCUGAGACGGCGUAUCGCAGCGAUGCGGCGCCGGCGGGGUGCCCGCAGCACUCCAGCAUCCGACCUCGGAUCAGGUAGGGAUACCCGCUGAACUUAA